rnacentral:rRNA from 1 species
GUGAACCUGCGGAAGGAUCAUUGUCGAAACCUUGCCCAAAAGAACGACCCGCGAACCAGUUGCGCGAAUACGAGGGGAUCACGGGGGGCCACGGCCCCUUCAUCUCCUCGAAACGACAACUAAACCCCCGGCGUGAGUCGCGCCAAGGAAAUCAAACCAGAAGGUCACCGUCCCAGUCCCAGGAAGGGGGCCAUGGGGCGGCGACCCUUUGCGUCGAACGAGCGAAAACGACUCUCGGCAACGGAUAUCUCGGCUCUCGCAUCGAUGAAGAACGUAGCGAAAUGCGAUACUUGGUGUGAAUUGCAGAAUCCCGGGAACCAUCGAGUCUUUGAACGCAAGUUGCGCCCGAAGCCUUUAGGCCGGGGGCACGUCUGCCUGGGUGUCACGCACAGUCGCCCCAAACCCACCUCCACUGGAGGGAGUUACGGGGCGGAUGUUGGCCUCCCGUUAGCCGCGGCUCGUGGUUGGCCCAAAUUGGCAGUCCUUGGAGGAGGACGCCACGACGAUCGGUGGUUUUGGCCCUCGGACUCGGUCGUGCGCGAACUACCCCCCACACGGAUCCAAAAUGUGUUCGUUGCGAGCACUGC